GACAAGGUUGCAAGCUCAGGCUGCUGGUGUCCCUUAUGACAGCCUGUGUAAUUUGGGACAUCUUAAUUCUAAUACAGUGCUGACAGGUGUGAAGUACAACUCCGCAGGCACUCGUGCUGUUCUUGGUGCUGAACCAACAUGUUCUCCAGAGUGUUUUCGAUAUAAAGGAACGCUUGAUGUCUUUUAUAAAGUAAUUCGUCAGG
rnacentral:misc_RNA from 1 species